rnacentral:rRNA from 1 species
GACGAACGCUGGCGGCGUGCCUAACACAUGCAAGUCGAGCGAUGAAGCUUCUUCGGAAGUGGAUUAGCGGCGGACGGGUGAGUAACACGUGGGUAACCCGCCUCAUAGUGGGGAAUAGCCUCUCGAAAGGGAGAUUAAUACCGCAUAAGAUUGUAGUUCCGCAUGGAACAGCAAUUAAAGGAUUUAUUCGCUAUGAGAUGGACCCGCGGCGCAUUAGCUAGUUGGUGAGGUAACGGCUCACCAAGGCGACGAUGCGUAGCCGACCUGAGAGGGUGAUCGGCAACAUUGGGACUGAGACACGGCCCAGACUCCUACGGGAGGCAGCAGUGGGGAAUAUUGCACAAUGGGGGGAACCCUGAUGCAGCAACGCCGCGUGAGUGAUGACGGCCUUCGGGUUGUAAAGCUCUGUCUUCAGGGACGAUAAUGACGGUACCUGAGGAGGAAGCCACGGCUAACUACGUGCCAGCCGCCGCCGUAA